GGCCUAGUGGAUUAGUGGAUAGAGCAUCUGCCUCCGAUACAGGAGGUCCUGGGUUUGAACCUCAACCAAGUCA